GAAACGCUUCCUUGCUGUCAUGCAGGUUUGUUCGAUCGUGGUGACACUAGAGAUACAUCAAGAUUUUUAAUUGAAUUAUUUUUCAAAUUUGCUGCAAUUGUUGUGAUUGGAAAGCUUCUCAAUAAAAAUAAAACUUUUUAAUAAAUUUUACAAUACUUUAUCUGCAAGGAUUGGCUUUCUUGAGUGUACAUGUUGUUAUUGGCAGCUGUCUUCCGAUAUGACCGCGCGGCAGCCUUAGUGUGACAGGUUCUUCUGUCGUAUUUUUCCGAUUCCCGGUGUCAAAAAAAUCGCACACGAAGUCGUGCGUUGGAGUGGGAAGAUAAAAUUAGCAGUUUUCCUUUCGCUGGCAGUGUGAAUUUACUUCUCAAUCAUCUGUGAGUUGGUGCAAGAUGAGUGGAAUGAUUCGACUUCCAACGGUGCUUGCCAAGAACGCGCUUUCAGCGGUUCGAGGCUUGACUGCUGGUACGUCACAGCGCAACCUGCAUUUCACCGUUGGACAGAAUAAUGCAAAAUCGAACCCGGAUGCCAUUUCGCGAGAGUAUCCCGUCGUUGACCAUACCUACGAUGCGGUCGUUGUUGGGGCCGGCGGUGCAGGACUGCGUGCCGCUUUUGGGCUGGUUGCGGAAGGAUUCAAGACUGCCGUUAUUACGAAGCUGUUCCCUACCCGUUCCCACACCGUCGCCGCACAGGGUGGCAUCAAUGCCGCACUGGGUAACAUGGAGGAGGACGACUGGAAGUGGCACAUGUACGAUACGGUGAAGGGCUCCGACUGGUUGGGAGACCAGGAUGCCAUCCACUACAUGACGCGCGAGGCGCCGAAAGCGGUCAUUGAGCUGGAAAACUAUGGUAUGCCGUUCUCCCGCACGCCCGAUGGCAAGAUUUACCAGCGUGCCUUCGGAGGACAGAGCUUGAAGUACGGUAAGGGUGGACAGGCGCAUCGCUGCUGUUGCGUUGCGGAUCGUACCGGCCACUCGCUGCUGCACACGCUGUACGGCCAGUCGCUCAGCUACGACUGCAACUACUUCAUCGAAUACUUCGCCAUGGACUUGUUGAUGCAGAACGGCGAGUGUGUCGGUGUGAUUGCGAUGAACCUGGAGGAUGGUAGCAUUCAUCGCUUCCGUGCGAAGAACACGGUGCUGGCUACUGGUGGGUAUGGUCGUGCGUACUUCUCCUGCACCUCGGCGCAUACCUGCACCGGCGACGGUACGGCAAUGGUGGCGCGCGCUGGACUGCCCUCGGAAGAUUUGGAGUUUGUGCAGUUCCACCCGACGGGCAUCUACGGUGCCGGUUGCCUGAUCACGGAGGGCUGCCGCGGUGAGGGUGGCUAUUUGAUCAACUCGCAGGGUGAACGGUUCAUGGAGCGCUACGCGCCGGUGGCGAAGGAUUUGGCCUCGCGUGACGUUGUGUCCCGCUCGAUGACGAUCGAAAUCCGCGAGGGACGCGGUUGCGGUCCGGAGAAGGAUCAUGUCUACCUGCAGCUGCACCAUCUGCCCCCAGAGCAGCUGGCCCAGCGCCUGCCGGGCAUUUCGGAGACGGCAAUGAUUUUCGCCGGCGUUGAUGUAACCCGCGAACCCAUUCCCGUACUGCCGACCGUGCAUUACAAUAUGGGUGGCGUACCGACGAACUACAAGGGCCAGGUGCUGACCACGGAAAAUGGUGCCGAUCGUGUUGUGCCUGGAUUGUACGCGUGUGGUGAGGCCGCUUGCUCCUCGGUGCACGGUGCCAAUCGUCUCGGUGCCAAUUCGCUGCUCGAUCUCGUGGUGUUCGGUCGUGCUUGCGCCAAAACGAUCGCUGAGGAGAAUCGUCCAGGAGAGAAGGUGCAGGAUCUGAAGCCGAAUGCGGGCGAAGCAUCGGUUGCCAACUUGGACUGGGUGCGUAACGCUGACGGACAGGUGCCGACCUCGACGCUGCGUUUGAAUAUGCAGAAGACUAUGCAGACGCAUGCUGCCGUUUUCCGCGAGGAGAAAACGCUCCAGGAGGGCGUGCGCAAGAUGGGCGACAUCUACAAGACCAUCAAGGACGUGAAAGUGUCGGACAGGUCACUGGUGUGGAACUCGGAUCUGGUGGAAACGCUUGAGCUGCAGAAUUUGCUGCUGAACGCAAACAUGACCAUCGUCGCUGCUGAAAACCGUAAGGAAUCGCGCGGUGCCCAUGCUCGUGAGGACUACAAACAACGUGUCGACGAAUACGACUUUAGCAAGCCGCUCGAGGGACAGCAGAAGAAGCCGGUGGAAGAGCACUGGCGUAAACAUACGCUGACGUGGAUCGAUCCAGCCACCGGUAACGUCACCAUCGACUACCGUCCGGUCAUUGACGAAACGCUCAGCGAGGAAUGUGCUACCGUGCCGCCAGCCAUUCGGUCUUAUUAAACAAACAACAAAACAACAACCGAAAGAUGUUUGCUGUCGUGUGAUCUAUUUCGGGAGGGGGGUAUACCGCUACAACGAGGAAGAAAAGAAAAUCAGCCUACACCAUCUCACGCUAUCGCACGUUUUCCUUCUAUCGGCAAGAAGCGUGCGCGUUGCUAGCAGCUUGGCUAUUGAAAGUAUUAUUAACAGCAUACGGAUCCGAUCACACCCCAUCACUAUUUAUUGCAUCUUGAAUGUCGACAUUUUACGUAAGAGUGAAGAAGAGAACUGAGUGAAGAAAUCUAAAAAACGGCACCUUACAACAAACACAGUAAGGGUAAUGUGUGAAAAGGGUUUUGAAGCAAUGCUGCUGUAGACGACAUACCUACCAUCAAGUGUCAAUCCUCGCCCCACUGCCAGUGGCAUGAAUAAUGGAUCAAUUUUGCACAAAAUUUUGUGUUUUGCUGGCCAUUGUUCCAUUGUUCUAAUAAUGUCUUGAUCGUAUGAAGAUACCAGUGAGCGAUUUGAGAGAAUAAUUGCAACGACGAUUUAAGACGGCAACGAUAAGUUAGGAGAAGUUUUGUACGCGAAGAAAUGAAAAAAAAAACUAACGAGCCGUAUUAGUGAGAAAAGCGUAUCCUGAUUUGGAUAAUUUAUUUAAAUCCAAACCUAUUCAUUACUGUAGGCAACCAGAAACCAAAAGCAAAACAAAAAAACUAAAACCGAAAUCUUAAUUGGUGUACUUCAUUAGAUUUAGUAUGCGAAAUGCAUGAAAAAAAAGAACUAUUUGCAAAAAAAAAUAAUAAUAAAUCCCUACAAAUUGAAAAUCGAAACUGAACCAAAUGGACGAUAAUAAAAACAUGUUGGUGCACCUUGCAGCACAAAAUUAAAACACCCAUAGGGGGAUGUGUUUGAUAGCUGAUGUCCCAUGGAAAAGGUCAGAGAGCUUGCAACUGCCGAAGAUAUUCUAGCUAGCCGUUGUACACAUCACUGGUCCUUGUUUUGAUUUUCACAGUUUAAACUUCCGUACCGGAAAUCGAUCGUUUAGUUUAGGAUUAUAAUUUUUUUUAAACUAGUUUGUUAGUGACGUGAAAGCAUGUAGUUAUUUGACAGACGUAAAACAAAUUAUUCAACAAUAAAAAUUACAACACCACACAACAAUCACUACAAA